UUUUGGCCUCUCGAAACUUGCAGUCGAUGGGAAUUCACAUGUAUCAAGCAUAGUUCGAGGCACUCUUGGCUAUCUUGAUCCAGAAUAUUAUAUCUCCAAUCAUUUGACAGAAAAAAGCGAUAUCUAUAGUUUUGGGGUCAUCCUUCGUGAGCUGAUCUCCGGUAAAGAAGCCAUUUCUAACGAAAGUUUUGGUUUGAAUUGUCGCAACAUCGUUCAAUGGGCAAAGUUACAUAUAGAGAAUGGGG